CCUACGGGUUGCUGCAGUGGGGAAUUUUGCGCAAUGGGCGAAAGCCUGACGCAGCAACGCCGCGUGUGUGACGAAGGCCCUAGGGUUGUAAAGCACUGUGGGAAGGGAAGAAAAAACGGGGGUCGUACCCCGUCUUGACGGUACCUUGUUAGAAAGCACCGGCUAACUCCGUGCCAGCAGCCGCGGUAAUACGGAGGGUGCAAGCGUUGUUCGGAAUUAGUGGGCGUAAAGGGCGUGUCGGUGGCUUGCCGAAAGCCCACGGCUCAACCGUGGAACUGCAUUGGAAACUGGCAAGCUCGAGUGUUGGAGGGGGUCGCGGAAUUCCCGGUGUAGAGGUGAAAUUCGUAGAUAUCGGGAGGAACACCAGUGGCGAAGGCGGCGACCUGGCCAAUCACUGACACUGAGACGCGAAAGCGUGGGGAGCAAACAGGAUUAGAUACCCCGGUAGUC
rnacentral:rRNA from 1 species